CAUUUGCAUGGAUGGCCCCUCCCUCUCUCAGAGGAUGAAGAGGGGAAGGGAGAGAUGAGGGGAGGCUCUGCUCAGCUGUGGAGCCACAGAAGACAGGAUCAGUGAUGAUCUUCACCAUGGCCUGGUCCCCUCUCCUCCUCGGCCUCCUUGCUCACUGCACAGGGUCCUGGGCCCAGUCUAUGCUGACUCAGCCAGCCUCAGUGUCUGGGUCCCUGGGCCAGAAGGUCACCAUCUCCUGCACUGGAAGCAGCUCCAACAUCGGUGGUAAUUAUGUGGGCUGGUACCAACAGCUCCCAGGAAUAGGCCCUAGAACCGUCAUCUAUGGUAAUAAUUACCGACCUUCAGGGGUCCCCGAUCGAUUCUCUGGCUCCAAGUCAGGCAGUUCAGCCACCCUGACCAUCUCUGGGCUCCAGGCUGAGGACGAGGCUGAGUAUUACUGCUCAUCAUGGGAUGAUAGUCUCAGAGGUCACACGGUGCUCCAGGCCUGUGGGGAAGUGAGACAAAAACCCACUUACCGGUCUGCAAAGUCUGGUCAGUCUGUGUUCAGGAGAAAAUAGCGGCUCACCUAAGGU